AAAUUAUAUAUGCAGUCUCAGAUAAGAGUUUUUGCACCUAAUACCUCCUGUUUGAGUUAACAUGCAUGAUUAUUUGGUCGUUCAUCAAUUAGUAGGAAGUGACAAAUGAAACUGGAGACUCUUUUGCAUUGAUUGAUGUAUGACAUAGAAUGAUUCUGAGACUCGUCAAAUCUAUUGUUAAGUACAUACUCCAGAAAACCUCCUUUUUAUUUAUUCUUUCUUUCAAUUCUUAUUAAAUAUAUAGUCAAUUUUGCAUGGCACUACUUGGUAAGCUUUUCACCUGAAGGCCAAGACCACUAUUCCAUCCACCCUUCAAUUCUCAACUGCCUCUCAAGGUUGGGUAGGAAGUUAUUAACCUUUUUAUGUAUGAUCUUAUGAGCUAAUGUUAAUUGUGCUAACAUUGAGUUGCAAGCUGUGGCAUCCUUCUUUGACUCAAUUCCCAAUGAGACUGCAUCCCAAGGAGAAUGGUCUUUUGGCGUGUUGUCAGUCCCUACAAGUCUGCAGCCAUACAGAUUGCGUGUCGUAGUAACUGCUUGGUGGUUGGAAUUUAUAACUAAAAAUCAAAAUCAGAUGUUUGCAUUUUGAACAAGAAACCACAGUUGAAAGAAUAGUACUCUGGAACAGAUGAGCUGGAAUUCAAACCCUAUACAUGACUGAGUCAUUUUGCUGUAUUAUGACUUUGCCCGGCCCCCUUUUCUCUCAAGUCCUUUUUGUAGACUACAUCAUUUCAGGAGCUAAAAUUUUCAUCAAGAUUCUGUUGUGCUCAACCUAAGGUCAAAGGGUAGUUGAUGGAAGAAUGGAUGAAGUGGAAAUGAAAAAGAUACAAGCUGCUAUGAAGUGAAAAUGAAAAGUUACAAGCUGCUUUACCAUGAAAUGUGAUUGGCUCCAAAUCCUCCAAUGGUGUUGUUCCGUCGAGCUACUUAAACAGUUAAACCUGCUUGCCACCAAAUUUUUUUAAAUAAUGACCUUGGUCUGAAGUUGAGCACAGAUAAUUGCUUAGCUUAACCAAAAUUAUGGAAGUAGGUUUUUGUUAUCUUUCGAAGCGGUAAAAACUAUUCUCUGGAACCUUAUGUAAAACUGAAAUACUAGGGUCCAG